rnacentral:lncRNA from 1 species
CCUUUCCGGUGGAGGACCCUUCCCCCUGGGUUGAUCUUGAGGAACUUAAGAGACGGUGUUUUGACUCGACUCCUUUCCCCUUUUUCCUCCCGGUACCAAAGCGGUUUUGUUUGCUGUUUAUACUCUACCCCGUGGAAAGGCGGCUAGCUGGCUAAAGGGUUUUAUGCCUGGGGGAGGAUGAGUCGCUAUUUGGUCGUGACUUGUUUCUGUUUAAAAUUAUUAUUAUUUACCAAAUGAAAAUGUUGUACUUACCAGUCCAAAGUGCGGGGCUUAUAUUGUUAGAAGACCACUUAAAAUGCUCCUGGAUUCUGACAAAUAUUGCAUGAGAAAUUUGCAAUCAGCCGUGAAGCAUGUUUCCCCUUCUGAAAGUUUAACACGUGCCGUAUCUACGGC